AUGCAAAUGCCUUGCCACAUUGAUUACAUUCAUAGGGUUUCUCUCCAGUAUGUGUUCGUUUAUGUAUUUGGAGACUACACUGACGUGCAAAGGCUUUACCACAUUGAUUACAUUCAUAGGGUUUCUCUCCAGUAUGUGUUCUUUCAUGCCUUCGAUAAUGACAUUGAUGUGCAAACGCUUUACCACAUUGAUUACAUUCAUAGGGUUUCUCUCCAGUAUGUAUUCUUUCAUGACUUCGAUAAUGACUCUGAUGUGCAAACGCUUUACCACAUUGAUUACAUUCAUAGGGUUUCUCUCCAGUAUGUGUUCUUUUAUGUAUUUGGAGACUACCUUGAGAUGCCAAGGCUUUACCACAUUGAUUACAUUCAUAGGGUUUCUCCCCAGUAUGUGUCCUUUUAUGCAUUUGAAUAUGACUAUUUGAUGCAAAAGCUUUACCACAUUGAUUACAUUCAUAAGGUUUCUCUCCAGUAUGUGUUCUUUUAUGUAUUUGAAGAUGACUGCGAAAUGCAAAAGCUUUAAUGCACUGAUUACAUUCAUAGGGUUUCUCUCCAGUACGUGUUCCUUUAUGUAUUCGAAGACUACUAUGACAUGCAAAGGCUUCACCAUAUUGAAUACCUUCAUAGGAUUUCUCUCCAGCAUGAAAUCUUUCACAACUUUGAAGAUGACUCUGAUAUGCAAAGGCUUUCACACUUUGAGGAUAUUUAGAAGGUUUCUCUCCACUAUGACUUCUUUCAUGCCUGCAAGGAUAAAUGACACAUGAAAAAGCUUUACCACAUUCAUAUCUCUGUUGAAUCUUUAUAUCUGUAUGAAUUAAUUUUAUAAUUUGGUCCAAUUGUAAAGAGUAAUAAGAUCUCAAGCUUUUAUCACUUUGUUUAUAUUCAUGUUGUUCUCCUUCAUUAAGGAUUAUUUUGCAUAUUUGAAGAAACCUGUCAUGGUAGGAGCCUUUAUUAUCUGGCUCACAUUUAUGGCAUCCAAUUUCUCUAUGAGAAAUUUCACAUAUUUAAAAGAACUGGAAGAAUUCAGACCUUUCCCUGACUUAUUCCAUUGAUAAAUUUCCCUAUACUCUGUGUUAUAUUUGCAAAGUGAACCAAGACAAAUAGAAGUAUUUACACAUUCCCAGUACUCAUACAGCUUUCAGCAACGAGUUUGUUGAUGUAGUCCCAAUGAAGCUGGAACACCAAUUAACUGUAUUCUUGAACCACAUUCAACAAGUCUACUCAACAUGGGGACUACUACAUAUCUUCUAAUUGUUCUGAGAUGAAGAGAGAUACAUUGCUUCUUUCCAUAUCCCUAUGCUUAUAUGGCUUCUAUCCAGAGUAAUAUAUGAUAUACCUAUUGAAGGAAGAAUAACAAAAAAAAAGGUUUCCACAUUGCAUUCAACAGUUUGACUUUCUGUUCCUCACAGACAUAAGAUAUAGGAAUUAAAGUUUCUCCACAACAACUGUCUCCAUUAAUUCUUGACUCAAACUAACUGCCUCAAUAAACUUACCAAGGCCAGAACAACUAUAUGAGUAACACUAGCUUUACUGUGGACUAUUUGCUUACUAGAAGGUUUUAGACAUAUCUGUGCUGCAUAUAUACCUUCUGUAAAAUGAGAGGUAUGAAACUAAAUGGAUUGGCAGUUCUACAAAAUAGCUCUGAGGGAGCAAUGAUUCAAAUGGUGAUAUCUGUUAAGGCAUUGAUUCCUUGUCUUCCUUCUUAAAUGAAUGACUUGCAAACAAUUCACUUACCUGCCAUUGAGGCAUAUGGUUUUGUGAGAAUUUAUGAUCAUCAAUGCCUUUUGAGCUGUGCUUAUUUACACUGCUACUUAAAAAAAAAAGAAAAGAAAAACUUCCAGAUACAUUAAAAUAUCUUCAGAGGCACAUUUGUAUCAGCAUCCACAGGAAAAUUACCUUCCAUGUCUUCGAAAACUUUGACAACGUUCUUCAAUAUUAUGAUUUUCCCAUCUGUAGCCUAAAAUAUAGUACCAGGAAAUGUAUGAUAUACUAUUAGAAAUUGUAAAAAAAAUUAAGUUACUAUCUUCAGUAAACCCUAGAACCAUCCCUGAUUUAUUCACUUCAUUCAGAAUCAAAAUUACAGAAGAGCAUCAACAACAAAUCCCCUUAUUUUAAAACAUGAAGAAAAAAUUCACAGUAUUACCUAUAGCAGUGAGGUUCAUAUAGGUCUCCAGCAUCACAUCUUUGUAG
rnacentral:lncRNA from 1 species